rnacentral:rRNA from 1 species
GAAAGUUACGCUAAUACCGCAUAUUCUGUGAGCAGGAAAGAGGGGGAUCGCAAGACCUCUUGCUUUAGGAGCGGCCGAUGUCGGAUUAGCUAGUUGGUGAGGUAAAGGCUCACCAAGGCGACGAUCCGUAGCGGGUCUGAGAGGAUGAUCCGCCACACUGGGACUGAGACACGGCCCAGACUUCUACGGGAGGCAGCAGUGGGGAAUUUUGGACAAUGGGCGCAAGCCUGAUCCAGCCAUGCCGCGUGAGUGAAGAAGGCCUUCGGGUUGUAAAGCUCUUUCGGUGGGGAAGAAAUUGCUUCGGUUAAUACCUGGAGUAGAUGACGGUACCCGCAUAAGAAGCACCGGCUAACUACGUG